rnacentral:rRNA from 1 species
UACGUAGGCAGCAAGCGUUGUUCGGAGUUACUGGGCGUAAAGGGCUCGUAGGCGGCCAACUAAGUCAUACGUGAAAUCCCUCAGCUUAACUGGGGGACUGCGUGUGAUACUGGAUGGCUUGGAUUUGGGAGAGGGAUGCGGAAUUCCAGGUGUAGCGGUGAAAUGCGUAGAUAUCUGGAGGAACACCGGUGGCGAAGGCGGCAUCCUGGACCAAUAUUGACGCUGAGGAGCGAAAGCCAGGGGAGCAAAGCGGG